AAGCGUUAAUCGGAAUCACUGGGCGUAAAGCGCGCGUAGGUGGAUAUUUAAGUCGGAUGUGAAAGCCCUAGGCUUAACCUGGGAAUUACAUCCGAUACUAGGUAUCUCGAGUAUGAUAGAGGGAAGUGGAAUUUCCGGUGUAGCGGUGAAAUGCGUAGAUAUCGGAAAGAACAUCAGUGGCGAAGGCGGCUUCCUGGAGCAAUACUGACACUGAGGCGCGAAAGCGUGGGGAGCAAACAGGAUUAGAGACCCUGGUAGUCCACGCUGUCAACGAUGAGAACUAGCUGUUGGAAAGUUUACUUUCUAGUAGCAAAGCUAACGCGUUAAGUUCUCCG
rnacentral:rRNA from 1 species